UACGUAGGGUGCGAGCGUUAAUCGGAAUUACUGGGCGUAAAGCGUGCGCAGGCGGUUCGCUAAGACCGAUGUGAAAUCCCCGGGCUUAACCUGGGAACUGCAUUGGUGACUGGCGGGCUAGAGUAUGGCAGAGGGGGGUAGAAUUCCACGUGUAGCAGUGAAAUGCGUAGAGAUGUGGAGGAAUACCGAUGGCGAAGGCAGCCCCCUGGGCCAAUACUGACGCUCAUGCACGAAAGCGUGGGGGAGCAAACAGG
rnacentral:rRNA from 1 species